AUCAAAUACACAAAUACACAAAACUGUAAAAGUGAGUAAAAAAAGAAGCUAAAGAAUAGAAACGGGAUGGAACGAAAUUGCAAUUUGACAAACCUCAACUAGAGAAUGGAUCAUGUUUGAUGAGGGAACAUGAGAAUCGGAAUCGCAUAUGUUCUUCUUCGUCGCAGAAUUCCAUCUUUUGUCACAUAAUUUGAAUCGAAAUCAAAGGGGAACAACAUAUUUGAGUGUAUGAAUUANNNNNNNNNNNNNNNNNNNNNNNNNNNNNNNNUGAAAGACUGAAUGAGGGUUUGAGUGUACGAGAGACUGAAUCGAAAAGGGGGGAAACGUGUUUGAGUGUAUAAGAAACUGAAUCGAGAAUUUUAAGGUAUGAAGAAGUUGAAUCCUGGGAGGAGGUUUAAGGGCAUGAAGAAAUUGAAUCCAGGUCAGUUUGAGAGCAUGAAGGAAUUAAAUCUUGGUUUUUGAAUGUGUGCAGAGAUUGCUACAAGGGUUUCAAAUUUGUUUGUUAAUUUGAGAUUAUUUCUCAAUAAGUUAAAUUUUCGUGAGGGUAUUAAAGUGGAAAAUAAAAUAAUAAAAAUAAUAUAUCACACCUAUUUUAGUGAUUUGUAAACAAAAAAAAAAACAUUUGUGUCGGAUCUGCUAUCGCUAAUAA
rnacentral:lncRNA from 1 species